GUUGGGCAUUGGACGUAGAAGAACCUCUCCUUCCAGUUAUGGAUAGAAGAGGGGGCGCCUUUCAGCAACCCCUUUCUACCAAACUGGAGGGACAAGUACCAUCAAUCCUUUGCCGAGGGAUGGCGCUUGAAGGUGUAGAAGUUCCUAAACAAAGGAAGAGUCGGCCGAACUUCGGCUAAACUACAAAGGGAAAAAAAUCCUAUCAAAAAUCUAAAGGAGUUCGGCACGAUGGAAACUAGAG
rnacentral:lncRNA from 1 species